rnacentral:rRNA from 1 species
CGCACGGGUGAGUAACACGUAUCCAACCUGCCGUCUACUCUUGGCCAGCCUUCUGAAAGGAAGAUUAAUCCAGGAUGGCAUCAUGAGUUCACAUGUCCGCAUGAUUAAAGGUAUUUUCCGGUAGACGAUGGGGAUGCGUUCCAUUAGAUAGUAGGCGGGGUAACGGCCCACCUAGUCAACGAUGGAUAGGGGUUCUGAGAGGAAGGUCCCCCACAUUGGACUGAGACACGGCCAA